GUUGGGAUAUACCGAUCGAUCUCUGUACGCCGACUUACUCUCGGAUCUGUCCGACCGACGCUCGACUCUACCGACCGAUGACUCUACCGACCGACGACUCCGACGAUGACCGCCGACAAUAGCUGCCGACAAUGUCCGACCGAAGGUAUGUCGGCCGAACAGAUUCAUACUGUUCCUAACUAGUCAAGCGGCCGAACCCAAAUCACCGACUCACUGUCGGGGGUGGCAGCCGACGUCCGACUUUCGCAAGGUAUC
rnacentral:lncRNA from 1 species